UUGGCAUUAAUUAGCCUGAAGAUUGCUUAUUAGCGCUGUCUUAGGACAGGAAUAAAAAUAAAGAAGAGAGUAGGGUGCCAAAAGUUUGAACACUGAAGAGUGAAGACUAUAAAAACUUCUUAAAUGUGAUCUAAAAAACAUUUGCAUACACUACAGUUCCCUUUCAGAUACUUUUCCUCCAUCAGGAGAAUCUGAUGAUGAUCCUGUGACUGUGUGAAAAAGGAAAAAAUGUGGAUUUGGAAUAAAAUGAACACAAAGUGCUCAUUCAUCCUGUCUCGUCCCUGGAAGCCCCCCACGACCCGUCACUUGAACCUGGAGGCUCUGCACAGGCAAAAACAGCCACGGGGUGGAUCCAGAUGUGCAGAAACGUCACACGUCCAAAAGUCAUGGCAUUUUUACAGCAUGGCGCUAUUGAGUUCUGGAUCCUGAGAAAAUGAUGGUGUUGAUUCGUUUUCUAGAACGUCAAGAUCGCAGGUUUUAUUUAUAUUGUAGAAUUUUAAUAUUAAUGCCCUCGUUCUGAUCCGCCAUCGUUUCCAUAGUAACGGAUCCAUUUCUUCUUUGACGUCCUGCCUGAUUUAUCCACUCACUGUAGCUGAGGAUGUUCUCCACAUGAACAGUGGGAGGAUCCAUGAGGUUCUUGUAGAUCUGAAGAACCAUGAAAAUGGAUUUGGAUUGUAAUGAAUAUAAUCAUUCUGCUACGAUUGUUUUGGUCUGCGAUCACGAUGAACUAUUGUACACCGAAGUCUUCAUCAGUGGAACGCUGAUAACAUGAUGGAACUGUAAUCAAUAGACAUUUGGUGUCACCCUGAUGAGGAUGAGCUGAGGAAGGUUUUCUUCAUACUGUACCAUCUCAGUUUUUUCCCUAAACACCGUCACCAGCGACUUGCUCAUAACUUAGGGACUAAUUAAUGAUGCUAAAAUUUAUAUUUGUAAUGUAUUUUUUUUUAUAUCUGCUUAAAUCAUAAACAUAUAUGCUAAUGAGCUAAAAA